CAUGGAGCACCCGGUCGGCCCACAGGGCGCCGCAAUAGCGGCGGGCGCUGCCAAGCCCAGGAGCCCGGGGUGAGUCUGUGCUGAGCUGGGAGCCCGCGCCGGCAAGUAUCAGGGUGCCGGGCAGGUACCCACCACCCUCCUCCCUCUGCCCAGAGGGUCUGAAGAGCUGGUACUUUCCCUGAGAGAUUCACCAGAAGCUGCAGGAUUUUGCCUUGGGUGUGUGCACCAGCUCCAACAAGGACCAGAGGUAACGAGCUUCAUAAGGGCAAGCCCCAAGAUAGAGUGCUCAGCAUACCAAACCGUCUCAGCGUUUGUGAGAAUAUUAGCAGCAAUCCUGGGCUCGACAAGGCACAGAGAUGUUGGCAGAGGGGCUGGGCCACCAUGCUGCAUCCUUAUCGCCCGACUGCCCUGGGCCUGGCCUCUGCCCUCUGGCUGCCGGCAAUGACCUCGUAGCCCCCCGACUGGGCCCCUCAGGAUCGUGGCUGAUGUCCCUCACUGUGGCAUCUUCUGAGGAGGUUUACUUCCAGAAUGGGCAGCUGCUCCACGGUCAGGAGCUGGACUGUAUGAUGCCCUGUCCAAAGGCCUCUGCAGCUGAGCCCCUCAUCACCCUGGACGAUCCCAGCACCACAGGAUUCACUGACCCACCCCUGGGGGAGCCCCUGGAGUCCGAAUCAGGAGGAGAGUCCAAGCACCAGCAGUGGAUGAGCAGACGUGCAGGUGGGGGGCUACCUGGUGAUGCAGACCCCACUGCAGCCUCCAGCAUUCAUCCUCUCCCACAGACUCCUAGAUGAAAAUUCUUCAAUUAACAUAUGCAAGAAUUCUUUGCUACCAUUCAAGAUAUUGUGACCGGUAGAAAACCCGGUUCCAGGUAGUCAGGCCCACCUGAUCCCGCAUCAAACAGAGAAACAAGUCUCUCUCUUUGGUGAGAAGGUGAGUUUGUUGAAGAUGCAUCAACAAGUAACUGGAGGAAAGAAAAAACUUUCAAGCCCAGUUCAAAGUGAGAAGAAUUAUUUGGGCUUUUAUAACCCCAAACAGACAAAGAAAUGGCCAGAAGCCAGAAGAAAGCAGAAAGGAAAAAAAAAAAAGAAGAGAGAAAGGUGUCGGUCAGCAUCUUCUUGUUAUCUUCAGGUCCUCCCCUCAUUCAGGCUUGCUUUUCAAGGUCCUGAUUAUGAGACCGUAUGGUCACAUCCCUCAUAUCUUACUGCAGGCAAUGCUGGGAAAGUUCCUGUGAGCAGGGAAUAAGUUUUGUUGUUGAGAUUAGAGCAACAGCAAGUUAUUUUAGCAAGGGCUUUUCAUGGUCAGAAUAACU